rnacentral:tRNA from 1 species
GGAGGAUAUCCCGAACGGUUCAGGGAAUGGUUUGCUAAACCAUGACGGGGCAACUCGUCGGUGGGUUCGACUCCCACAUCCUCCG